AUGAGGGUGUUGGACUAUCCAGGGAGGUCAGUUAUUCAUUUUUUCUUUUGUCAGCAACUUCUAGGAGACCUAUACCAUCUAAGACUCCCACAAGAAUUCUAUAUGGGGUAACUACAUGUAAGGAAUUUCUUGUGUUUUCUCCUAUUUUAUUUUAUGUACUGUUUUGCAAUUUGUUAUCUGUAUGUCAUUUAUUUCUGUAUUUUGUACUCAG